rnacentral:antisense_RNA from 1 species
GUGGGAGGGGGCUUGCUCCCGAUGGCGGUGUGCCAGUUGAUGGAUUGAGUGACUGAUAUACCGCAAUCGGGGGCAAGCCCCCUCUCAC